rnacentral:rRNA from 1 species
GACGAACGCUGGCGGCGUGCUUAACACAUGCAAGUCGAACGCUGAAGCUCAGCUUGCUGGGUGGGUGAGUGGCGAACGGGUGAGUAACACGUGAGUAACCUGCCCUCUUCUUUGGGAUAACGCCCGGAAACGGGUGCUAAUACUGGAUAUUCACUGAUUCUCGCAUGGGGGUUGGUGGAAAGGUUUUUUCUGGUGGGGAUGGGCUCGCGGCCUAUCAGCUUGUUGGUGGGGUGGUGGCCUACCAAGGCUUUGACGGGUAGCCGGCCUGGGAGGGUGACCGGUCACAUUGGGACGGAGAUACGGCCCAGACUCCUACGGGAGGCAGCAGUGGGGAAUAUUGCACAAUGGGCGAAAGCCUGAUGCAGCGACGCCGCGUGAGGGAUGGAGGCCUUCGGGUUGUAAACCUCUUUCGCUCAUGGUCAAGCCGCAGCUUUGGGUUGUGGUGAGGGUAGUGGGUAAAGAAGCGCCGGCUAACUACGUG